rnacentral:tRNA from 1 species
GCCUGGCUGGCUCAGUCGGUUAAGUGUCUGACUUUGGCUCAGGUCAUGAUCUUGCAGUUUGAGUUCAAGACCCACGUCGGGCU